AAUAUGUGAACUGUGUCUCCGGCAUUUAAUAUUUGAAUACUCAUGAGCUCUAGAGUAGUACUAAACUUUUAAAAAGACUGUAAACAAAGUCUGACCAAUGUCGGAAGAAUGAUCCAGUGAAGAAGAGUACCUAACGGAAGUAAACAGACACAAGAGGGAUGUCAAUAUCAUUAUCCUCGUCAUCCUCGCAUGCUACGACAACAUCCAAAUGUCGACGGUACGGAGGCAGCUCCACCUUUGCAACAUCUCGAGCUAAAUCAACCACCUUCUUGUCCAUUCGAUCUCUGUGUCGAGGAAACAUACUAUUGUACAGGAGACAGCUACCACAUGAGAUGCUAUAGGCAUUCAAUCCCUUGUUUUUCAACCAAUCAAUAAGUUCUCUGAGAGUAGGGUUGUCUUUGAUGAUCCAUCUGUCCCAGACUGUCCAGCUCAUGUCUCGGUGCUUAAUGACCUUGGGUGGGACUGGCUCAGCCAUGGAAAAUAGAGGCAAUGCAAGGUUGGCAAAUGUGUUACGGUAGUCCUCCACCUUGUGGCCACCAUCGAGAACUUUGUACAGUUCAAGGCAGACGAGACCUGUGGCCAUUGCGGUCGAGGUUGCAAUGGCAGGGAUGAUCCUUCCGGCGAUGAACUUGGCUUUCAACUUAUCUACUUCAGGAAUGCUGUAAUUCCUCGCUCUCAUGUUAGCAAGCCCAGCUAUGAGAUCCAUAUGGAAAUUUGAAUCAUCAUCCUUCUCAAACUGGAUCGGUUUCAUCCUGAAUCCCUCUGGUAGCUUCCUGCGAGUUUCCUCCAAUUUGUU
rnacentral:misc_RNA from 1 species